rnacentral:rRNA from 1 species
GACGAACGCUGGCGGCGUGCCUAUUACAUGCAAGUCGAGCGCAGGAAGUCAUCCGAACCCUUCGGGGGGACGUUGACGGAAUGAGCGGCGGACGGGUGAGUAACACGUAAAGAACCUGCCCUCAGGUCUGGGAUAACCACGAGAAAUCGGGGCUAAUACCGGAUGGGUCAUCGGACCGCAUGGUCCGAGGAUGAAAGGCGCUCCGGCGUCGCCUGGGGAUGGCUUUGCGGUGCAUUAGCUAGUUGGUGGGGUAAUGGCCCACCAAGGCGACGAUGCAUAGCCGACCUGAGAGGGUGAUCGGCCACACUGGGACUGAGACACGGCCCAGACUCCUACGGGAGGCAGCAGUAGGGAAUCUUCCACAAUGGACGAAAGUCUGAUGGAGCAACGCCGCGUGAACGAUGAAGGCCCUCGGGUCGUAAAGUUCUGUUGUAAGGGAAGAACAAGUGCCGCAGGCAAUGGCGGCACCUUGACGGUACCUUGCGAGAAAGCCACGGCUAACUACGUG